ensembl:snoRNA SNORA66 Small nucleolar RNA SNORA66
AAGAAGAAUCACUAACUCUGCAUGAUGUUGCAGAAAUGAAGGCAACCAGGUUUGCUAAAGUAAUUGUGGUGAUAGAAAUGUAUUAGCCUCAGAAGCUACUGAGGUGGUUCAUUCUAUCCUAGGACAGUG